UUUUUGUUGGUUUCUAGGACCGCCGUAAUGAUUAAUAGGGACAGUCGGGGGCAUCAGUAUUCAAUUGUCAGAGGUGAAAUUCUUGGAUUUAUUGAAGACUAACUACUGCGAAAGCAUUUGCCAAGGAUGUUUUCAUUAAUCAGGAACGAAAGUUAGGGGAUCGAAGACGAUCAGAUACCGUCGUAGUCUUAACCAUAAACUAUGCCGACUAGGGAUCGGACGAUGUUAUUUUUUGACUCGUUCGGCACCUUACGAGAAAUCAAAGUGCUUGGGCUCCAGGGGGAGUAUGGUCGCAAGGCUGAAACUUAAAGAAAUUGACGGAAGGGCACCACCAGGGGUGGAGCCUGCGGCUUAAUUUGACUCAACACGGGGAAACUCACCAGGUCCAGA
rnacentral:rRNA from 1 species